GGGGGUCUCAGAUAUGUAUAAACCCAGCUGGUUGCCGAGAGGUUCAGAAAAUCUCACUUUGCUGUAGACUCAUAACCUUUUCUACACUUGAGACGUUCUCAACUCUUUCUACAAGAUGGUACAUUUGCAGACUUAUGCUAUUUGUGUUAAGUUUGUGGAUCUGGACUCAAGUGUCCUCAUCAGACUAAACCUCAGAGGGUCAAGAGUGAGCUCUGGGGACUUCCCUGGUGGUGCAGUGGUUGAGAAUCUGCCUGCCAAUGCAGGGGACGCGGGUUCGAGCCCUGGUCCGGGAAGAUCCCACAUACCGCAGAGCAACUAAGCCCGUGAGCUACAACUACUGAGCCUGCGUGCCUAGAGCCUGUGCUUCGCAACAAAGAGAAGCCACAGCAAUGAGAAGCCCGCGCACCGCAACGAAGAGUAGCCCCCGCUCACCGCAACUAGAGAAAGCCCGUGCACAGCAAUGAAGACCUAACGCAGCCAAUAAAUAAAUAAAUUUAUUAAAAAGAGUGAGCUCUGAAGAGCUUCUCCAUGCACGUGCAUGU